AAAAAAAAAAAAAAAGAACAGAUAGAUAGGUGUCUUUUUUGCAAUCAACUCAAUGUUGAUUGACUAUAUUUUUGUUGUUGUUGUUGUUGUUGUUUC
rnacentral:ribozyme from 15 species